GUUGUGAGGUUAAGCGACUAAGCGUACACGGUGGAUGCCCUGGCAGUCAGAGGCGAUGAAGGACGUGCUAAUCUGCGAUAAGCGUCGGUAAGGUGAUAUGAACCGUUAUAACCGGCGAUUUCCGAAUGGGGAAACCCAGUGUGUUUCGACACACUAUCAUUAACUGAAUCCAUAGGUUAAUGAGGCGAACCGGGGGAACUGAAACAUCUAAGUACCCCGAGGAAAAGAAAUCAACCGAGAUUCCCCCAGUAGCGGCGAGCGAACGGGGAGCAGCCCAGAGCCUGAAUCAGUGUGUGUGUUAGUGGAAGCGUCUGGAAAGGCGCGCGAUACAGGGUGACAGCCCCGUACACAAAAAUGCACAUGCUGUGAGCUCGAUGAGUAGGGCGGGACACGUGGUAUCCUGUCUGAAUAUGGGGGGACCAUCCUCCAAGGCUAAAUACUCCUGACUGACCGAUAGUGAACCAGUACCGUGAGGGAAAGGCGAAAAGAACCCCGGCGAGGGGAGUGAAAAAGAACCUGAAACCGUGUACGUACAAGCAGUGGGAGCACGCUUAGGCGUGUGACUGCGUACCUUUUGUAUAAUGGGUCAGCGACUUAUAUUCUGUAGCAAGGUUAACCGAAUAGGGGAGCCGAAGGGAAACCGAGUCUUAACUGGGCGUUAAGUUGCAGGGUAUAGACCCGAAACCCGGUGAUCUAGCCAUGGGCAGGUUGAAGGUUGGGUAACACUAACUGGAGGACCGAACCGACUAAUGUUGAAAAAUUAGCGGAUGACUUGUGGCUGGGGGUGAAAGGCCAAUCAAACCGGGAGAUAGCUGGUUCUCCCCGAAAGCUAUUUAGGUAGCGCCUCGUGAAUUCAUCUCCGGGGGUAGAGCACUGUUUCGGCAAGGGGGUCAUCCCGACUUACCAACCCGAUGCAAACUGCGAAUACCGGAGAAUGUUAUCACGGGAGACACACGGCGGGUGCUAACGUCCGUCGUGAAGAGGGAAACAACCCAGACCGCCAGCUAAGGUCCCAAAGUCAUGGUUAAGUGGGAAACGAUGUGGGAAGGCCCAGACAGCCAGGAUGUUGGCUUAGAAGCAGCCAUCAUUUAAAGAAAGCGUAAUAGCUCACUGGUCGAGUCGGCCUGCGCGGAAGAUGUAACGGGGCUAAACCAUGCACCGAAGCUGCGGCAGCGACGCUUAUGCGUUGUUGGGUAGGGGAGCGUUCUGUAAGCCUGCGAAGGUGUGCUGUGAGGCAUGCUGGAGGUAUCAGAAGUGCGAAUGCUGACAUAAGUAACGAUAAAGCGGGUGAAAAGCCCGCUCGCCGGAAGACCAAGGGUUCCUGUCCAACGUUAAUCGGGGCAGGGUGAGUCGACCCCUAAGGCGAGGCCGAAAGGCGUAGUCGAUGGGAAACAGGUUAAUAUUCCUGUACUUGGUGUUACUGCGAAGGGGGGACGGAGAAGGCUAUGUUGGCCGGGCGACGGUUGUCCCGGUUUAAGCGUGUAGGCUGGUUUUCCAGGCAAAUCCGGAAAAUCAAGGCUGAGGCGUGAUGACGAGGCACUACGGUGCUGAAGCAACAAAUGCCCUGCUUCCAGGAAAAGCCUCUAAGCAUCAGGUAACAUCAAAUCGUACCCCAAACCGACACAGGUGGUCAGGUAGAGAAUACCAAGGCGCUUGAGAGAACUCGGGUGAAGGAACUAGGCAAAAUGGUGCCGUAACUUCGGGAGAAGGCACGCUGAUAUGUAGGUGAGGUCCCUCGCGGAUGGAGCUGAAAUCAGUCGAAGAUACCAGCUGGCUGCAACUGUUUAUUAAAAACACAGCACUGUGCAAACACGAAAGUGGACGUAUACGGUGUGACGCCUGCCCGGUGCCGGAAGGUUAAUUGAUGGGGUUAGCGCAAGCGAAGCUCUUGAUCGAAGCCCCGGUAAACGGCGGCCGUAACUAUAACGGUCCUAAGGUAGCGAAAUUCCUUGUCGGGUAAGUUCCGACCUGCACGAAUGGCGUAAUGAUGGCCAGGCUGUCUCCACCCGAGACUCAGUGAAAUUGAACUCGCUGUGAAGAUGCAGUGUACCCGCGGCAAGACGGAAAGACCCCGUGAACCUUUACUAUAGCUUGACACUGAACAUUGAGCCUUGAUGUGUAGGAUAGGUGGGAGGCUUUGAAGUGUGGACGCCAGUCUGCAUGGAGCCGACCUUGAAAUACCACCCUUUAAUGUUUGAUGUUCUAACGUUGACCCGUAAUCCGGGUUGCGGACAGUGUCUGGUGGGUAGUUUGACUGGGGCGGUCUCCUCCUAAAGAGUAACGGAGGAGCACGAAGGUUGGCUAAUCCUGGUCGGACAUCAGGAGGUUAGUGCAAUGGCAUAAGCCAGCUUGACUGCGAGCGUGACGGCGCGAGCAGGUGCGAAAGCAGGUCAUAGUGAUCCGGUGGUUCUGAAUGGAAGGGCCAUCGCUCAACGGAUAAAAGGUACUCCGGGGAUAACAGGCUGAUACCGCCCAAGAGUUCAUAUCGACGGCGGUGUUUGGCACCUCGAUGUCGGCUCAUCACAUCCUGGGGCUGAAGUAGGUCCCAAGGGUAUGGCUGUUCGCCAUUUAAAGUGGUACGCGAGCUGGGUUUAGAACGUCGUGAGACAGUUCGGUCCCUAUCUGCCGUGGGCGCUGGAGAACUGAGGGGGGCUGCUCCUAGUACGAGAGGACCGGAGUGGACGCAUCACUGGUGUUCGGGUUGUCAUGCCAAUGGCACUGCCCGGUAGCUAAAUGCGGAAGAGAUAAGUGCUGAAAGCAUCUAAGCACGAAACUUGCCCCGAGAUGAGUUCUCCCUGACUCCUUGAGAGUCCUGAAGGAACGUUGAAGACGACGACGUUGAUAGGCCGGGUGUGUAAGCGCAGCGAUGCGUUGAGCUAACCGGUACUAAUGAACCGUGAGGCUUAACCUUACAACGCCGAAGCUGUU
rnacentral:rRNA from 1 species